rnacentral:rRNA from 1 species
UAAUACGUAGGGGGCGAGCGUUGUCCGGAAUUAUUGGGCGUAAAGAGCGUGUAGGCUGUUCGGUAAGUCUGCCGUGAAAACCUGAGGCUCAACCUCGGGCGUGCGGUGGAUACUGCCGGGCUAGAGGACGGUAGAGGCGAGUGGAAUUCCCGGUGUAGCGGUGAAAUGCGCAGAUAUCGGGAGGAACACCAGUAGCGAAGGCGGCUCGCUGGGCCGUUCCUGACGCUGAGACGCGAAAGCUAGGGGAGCGAACAGGAUUAGAUACCCUGGUAGUCCUAGCCGUAAACGAUGGACACUAGGUGUGGGGGGAGUCGAAUCCCUCUGUGCCGCAGUUAACGCGUUAAGUGUCCCGCCUGGGGAGUACGGCCGCAAGGCUA